AAAUUGAAGAGUUUGAUCAUGGCUCAGAUUGAACGCUGGCGGCAGGCCUAACACAUGCAAGUCGAGCGGCAGCGGGAAAGUAGCUUGCUACUUUUGCCGGCGAGCGGCGGACGGGUGAGUAAUGCCUGGGGAUCUGCCCAGUCGAGGGGGAUAACUACUGGAAACGGUAGCUAAUACCGCAUACGCCCUACGGGGGAAAGCAGGGGACCUUCGGGCCUUGCGCGAUUGGAUGAACCCAGGUGGGAUUAGCUAGUUGGUGAGGUAACGGCUCACCAAGGCGACGAUCCCUAGCUGGUCU
rnacentral:rRNA from 1 species